rnacentral:rRNA from 1 species
UAGGGAAUCUUCGGCAAUGGGGGGAACCCUGACCGAGCAACGCCGCGUGCGUGAAGAAGGUUUUCGGAUCGUAAAGCUCUGUUGUUAAGGAAGAACGAGUGUGAGAAUGGAAAGUUCAUGCUGUGACGGUACUUAACCAGAAAGGGACGGCUAACUACGUGCCAGCAGCCGCGGUAAUACGUAGGUCCCGAGCGUUGUCCGGAUUUAUUGGGCGUAAAGCGAGCGCAGGCGGUUAGAAAAGUCUGAAGUGAAAGGCAGUGGCUCAACCAUUGUAGGCUUUGGAAACUGUUUAACUUGAGUGCAGAAGGGGAGAGUGGAAUUCCAUGUGUAGCGGUGAAAUGCGUAGAUAUAUGGAGAAACACCGGUGGCGAAAGCGGCUCUCUGGUCUGUAACUGACACUGAGGCUCGAAAGCGUGGGGAGCGAACAGG